rnacentral:rRNA from 1 species
GUUUGAUCCUGGCUCAGAACGAACGCUGGCGGCGUGGCUAAGACAUGCAAGUCGAACGGACCCGUUAAUUUAUUAGCGAGUCAGUGGCGAAAGGGUGAGUAAUGAAUAGGUAACGUACCCCGAGCUCUGGGAUAGCCAUCCGAAAGGAUGGGUAAUACCGGAUAACCUCACGAGUCGAUGGGCUCGUGAGCAAAGAUUCAUCGGCGCGGGAGCGGCCUAUUUCCUAUCAGCUAGUUGGUGAGGUAACGGCCCACCAAGGCGAAGACGGGUAGCGGGACUGAGAGGUUGGCCCGCCACAUCGGAACUGAGACACUGUCCGGACCCCCACGGGGGGCUGCAGUAACGAAUCUUGGGCAAUGGGCGAAAGCCUGACCCAGCGACGCCGCGUGCGGGAGGAAGUCCUUCGGGAUGUAAACCGCUGUCAGGGGUAAGAAAGUCCACUUCGGUGGAUUGAUCCAACCCAGAGGAAGUCACGGCUAACUCUGUGCCAGCAGCCGCGGUAAGACAGAGGUGCUAGCGUUGUUCGGUAUCACUGGGCUUAAAGCGUGUGUAGGCGGGAGCGUAAGCAUUUUGUGAAAUCCCCCGGCUCAACCGGGGCAUUGCUUGAUGUACUGCGUUCCUUGAGGCAAGUAGGGGUGCGAGGAACUCUUGGUGGAGCGGUGGAAUGCGUAGAUAUCAAGAGGAACGCCGAUGGUGAAGACAUCGCACUAGGCUUGUCCUGACGCUGAGACACGAAAGCGUGGGGAGCGAACGGGAUUAGAUACCCCGGUAGUCCACGCCGUAAACGAUGCCUACUAGAUUGUGGCGGUUCUGACGCCGGCACAGUCGAAGCCAAAGUGUUAAGUAGGCCGCCUGGGGAGUACGGUCGCAAGGCUAAAACUCAAAGGAAUUGACGGGGGCUCACACAAGCGGUGGAGCAUGUGGAUUAAUUCGAAUCAACGCGCAGAACCUUACCUGGGUUUGACAUGCUUGGAUGCCUUUCUGGAAACAGAGUAGGCUACCCUUCGGGGUGAAACUUGCACAGGUGCUGCAUGGCUGUCGUCAGCUCGUGUCGUGAGAUGUCGGGUUAAGUCCCUUAACGAGCGAAACCCUUACCGUUAGUUACCAGCGGGUCAUGCCGGGAACUCUAGCGGGACUGCCGGUGUUAAACCGGAGGAAGGCGGGGAUGACGUCAAGUCAUCAUGGCCUUUAUGCCCAGGGCCUCACACGUGCUACAAUGGUCGGUACAAAGCGACGCGAGACCGCAAGGUGGAGCAAAUCGCAAAAAACCGGCCCCAGUUCGGAUUGUAGGCUGGCAACUCGCCUGCAUGAAGUUGGAAUCGCUAGUAAUCGCGGAUCAGCUAUGCCGCGGUGAAUGUGUUCCUGAGCCUUGUACACACCGCCCGUCAAGUGAUGGGAGUUGGAAGUACCCGAAGUCGGGUUGCUAACCUCGCAAGAGGAGGCGCCUGCCGACGGUAAGUCCGACGACUGGCACUAAGUCGGAACAAGGUA